GUGCCAGCAGCCGCGGUAAUACGUAGGCAGCGAGCGUUGUUCGGAAUUACUGGGCGUAAAGCGUGCGUAGGCGGUGCCUCAAGUUUGGUGUGAAAUCUCCCGGNUCAACCGGGAGGGUGCGNCGAAAACUGANGUGCUCGAGUGUGGGAGAGGUAAGCGGAAUUCCUGGUGUAGCGGUGAAAAUGCGUAGAGAUGUGGAGGAACACCAGUGGNGAAGGNGGNUUUCUGGUCUGUAACUGACGCUGAGGGGCGAAAGCGUGGGGAGGAAAC
rnacentral:rRNA from 1 species